rnacentral:rRNA from 1 species
ACGGGAGGCAGCAGUGGGGGAUAUUGGACAAUGGGGGAAACCCUGAUCCAGCGACGCCGCGUGAGUGAAGAAGUAUUUCGGUAUGUAAAGCUCUAUCAGCAGGGACGAAAAAGCGCAAGCAUUGACGGUACCUGACUAAGAAGCCCCGGCUAACUACGUGCCAGCAGCCGCGGUAAUACGUAGGGGGCAAGCGUUAUCCGGAUUUACUGGGUGUAAAGGGAGCGUAGGCGGCGAAGCAAGUCAGAUGUGAAAUCCCGGGGCUCAACCUCGGUGCUGCAUUUGAAACUGUUUUGCUAGAGUGUCGGAGAGGUAAGUGGAAUUCCUAGUGUAGCGGUGAAAUGCUUAGAUAUUAGGAAGAACACCAGUGGCGAAGGCGGCUUACUGGACGAUAACUGACGCUGAGGCUCGAAAGCGUGGGGAGCAAACAGGAUUAGAUACCCUGGUA